rnacentral:rRNA from 1 species
UACAGAGGCCCCAAGCGUUACUGAGAAUCACUGGGUUUAAAGGGUGCGUAGGUGGUCCGUUAAGUUCGUUGUGAAAUCCCUGGGCUCAACCCAGGAAAUGCUUCGAAUACUGGCGGACUUGAGGCUAGUAGAGGUCACUGGAACUGACGGUGGAGCGGUGAAAUGCGUAGAUAUCGUCAGGAACGCCGGUGGUGAAGACGGGUGACUGGGCUAGUUCUGACACUGAGGCACGAAAGCGUGGGGAG